rnacentral:rRNA from 1 species
GACGAACGCUGGCGGCGUGCUUAACACAUGCAAGUCGAACGGAAAGGCCCUGCUUUUGUGGGGUGAUCGAGUGGCGAACGGGGGAGUAACACGUGAGUAACCUGCCCUUGACUUUGGGAUAACUUCAGGAAACUGGGGCUAAUACCGGAUAGGAGCCCAUCCUGCAUGGUGGGGGGUGGAAAGUUUCGGCGGUUGGGGAUGGAUGAGCGGCUGAUGAGCUAGUUGGUGGGGUAGUGGCUGGCCAAGGGUGUGACGGGUCGCCGACCUGUGAGGGUGGCCGGCCACCAGGGUCCUGCGGGACGCACCAGAGUGCAACAGUGGGCAGCGGGGGGGAACAUGGCACAGCGGGCGCACGUCGGAGGCGGAGGCGCUCGGGUCGGAAUGACGUCCUUUUGGGAGUAAACAGCUGCAGCCUGUGACGACGCGUUAGUGACGGUAACGGGUAAAUAAGCACCGGCUAACUACGUG